GAUGAAGAACGUAGCAAAAUGCGAUAAGUAAUGUGAAUUGCAGAAUUCAGUGAAUCAUCGAAUCUUUGAACGCACAUUGCGCCCGCCAGUAUCUGGCGGGCAUGCCUGUUCGAGCGUCAUUUCAACCCUCAAGCACAGCUUGGUGUUGGGACUCGCGUUAAUUCGCGUUCCCCAAAUUGAUUGGCGGUCACGUCGAGCUUCCAUAGCGUAGUAGUAAAACCCUCGUUACUGGUAAUCGUCGCGGCCACGCCGUUAAACCCCAACUUCUGAAUGUUGACCUCGGAUCAGGUAGGAAUACCCGCUGAACUUAAGCAUAUCAAUAAGCGGAGGA
rnacentral:misc_RNA from 1 species